GAGCCCUCCUUAGCGCACUUGUUUUCACAGUGCAGCAAAAUGAAAUGCCUUAGAAAAAGAGUAACAUUCCAGAAAAUGGUGUAAUUUAUUUUUCUUCCUUAAUUGCCCCAUCUGUGGAGGAUUUCCUUGCUGAACACCACAUCAAAGGGAUCUUCUGCAUUUAAAAUAGAAGAGGCAUCAUGCUGAAGAGGGAGGGGAUGGUCCAACCUUACACUAAAACCCUGGAUGGAGGAUGGGGAUGGAUGAUUGUGAUUCAUUUUUUCCUGAGACAGGUUUUCACCAUGUUGCCCAGGCUGGUCCUGAACUCCUGGGCUCAAGUGAUCUGCCUGCCUCAGCCUCCCAAAAUGCUAGGACUACAGGUGCCCUUAUAUUAUUUGGAGCUAUCGCAUUGAAUUUGGUGCCUUCUAGUAUGCUCUUAAGACCCAUCCAUAUCAAAAGUGAGAACAAUUCUGGUAUUAAAGAUAAAGGCAGCAGUUUGUCUGCACAUGGUCCAGAGGCACGUGCAACAGAAACACACUGCCAUGAGACAGAAGAGUCUACCAUCAAGGACAGUACUAUGCAGAAGGCUGGACUACCUAGCAAAAAUUUAAUAGUCUCACAAAAUCAAAGUGAAGAGUUCUACAAUGGGCCUAACAGGAACAGACUGUUAUUAAAAAGUGAUGAAGAAAGUGAUAAGGUUAUUUCGUGGAGCUGCAAACAACUCUUUGAUAUUUCUCUCUUUAGAAAUCCUUUCUUCUACAUAUUUACUUGGUCUUUUCUCCUCAGUCAGUUA
rnacentral:sRNA from 1 species